rnacentral:rRNA from 1 species
AUGGUGAGCGAAACCGAGCGGCGAGGGCAGUGGUCAGGCGCGGGCGGAGCGGUGGUGACCAAAGACGGGCGCAGCCGGGACGAGCUGUCGGCGGCAGUGGUGCGACGCAGCAGUGCGCGAUGCACGCAACCGGCGCGGCGAGCACGGUGUGCGGGCGCGUUCAGGCGCAGACGGUGGCCAAGGUGCGUGGCGAUGGAGCGGCAGGGGGGCGACGGCGUGGCCGUCACGGUGGUGUGCGUGCGCGCGCGUGGACAAGCGGCCGGAGUGGACGACGAGUGCGGGGAGAUGAGGAGAGGCCGGGGGCCUCACCGGGGUUGUAGGGGACUGGGCAGCGGGGCUCGUGGUGGGUGA